AAAGAUGAAGGCAGAGAUUUAACUUUUGUCCCAAUGAAUAACAACCUCAAAUGAUUCAACAUGCCUAUUUCAUUCAGCAAAGAAUCUUUCACCGUGAUAAAAGAGGGAUACAGGACCAACACUCUAAGAAGCCUCAAGUCUCUUAGGUGACAUGCAUUAGAAAGGCGAUAGUUCAGCUUGUGUCCAGUUAUUUCCAAAGAACAGAGGUGUUUACCAGAAUGCCUUUUCAUUUUUGAACUAAACAGGAUGAAAUUGUUAGGCUCAAAGUGCUCCUUAUCAUUAUCAAUUCUUACCAUACGUGGCAUCAAAUGUGAAGAAGAAGAUGGAUCACUUGAACUUAUCUGCUCAAACAACUUUUCCUCUUUUGCUUUAAUCAAGCAAUAUUCAUGCACUAGAUCAUGUAUGUGGCAAGUCGGUAGAUCCCCUAUCUCAUUGAUAGCAAUUACCAAGCUACUGAGGUGACAUGCAUUAGAAAGGCGAUAGUUCAGCUUGUGUCCAGUUAUUUCCAAAGAACAGAGGUGUUUACCAGAAUGCCUUUUCAUUUUUGAACUAAACAGGAUGAAAUUGUUAGGCUCAAAGUGCUCCUUAUCAUUAUCAAUUCUUACCAUACGUGGCAUCAAAUGUGAAGAAGAAGAUGGAUCACUUGAACUUAUCUGCUCA
rnacentral:lncRNA from 1 species